rnacentral:misc_RNA from 1 species
AAUGGACGCCAGUAGCCA